rnacentral:rRNA from 1 species
CCUACGGGUGGCAGCAGUGGGGAAUAUUGGGCAAUGGGCGCAAGCCUGACCCAGCAACGCCGCGUGAAGGAAGAAGGCGUUCGGGUUGUAAACUUCUUUUGACAGGGAAGAGUAGAAGAAGGUACAUGUAGAAUAAGCCAUAGCUAACUAAGUGCCCGCAGCCGCGGUAAUACGUAGGUGGCAAGCUUUGUCCGGAUUUGUUUGGUUGCAAGGGUGGGUAGGGGGUUUUUUAAGUUAGGGGUUAAACCUCGGGGCUUCACCUUGAUUUGCCAUUAAUACUGUAAGACUCGAGUUCAGAAGAGGUAGGUGGAAUAAGUAAUGUAGCGGUGAAAUGCUUAGAUAUAACUUAGAACUCCGAUAGCGAAGGCAGCUUACCAGACUGCGACUGACGCUGAGGCACGAGAGUGUGGGUAGCGAACAGGAUUAGAUACCCCUGUAGUC